rnacentral:rRNA from 1 species
CCUACGGGAGGCUGCAGUGGGGAAUCUUGCGAAGUGGGCGCCCUAUUGACGCAGCCAUGCAGAUUGCCUGCUGACGGUCUUCGGAUUGUCCCCUUCUUUUUCCGGGGCCGCGCAUGCCGGUACCCGGAGCCGCCGCCCCGGCUACCUUCGUGCCCGCAGCCGCGGUUGUCUGACGGGGGCUAGCGUUGCUCGGAAUUCCUGGGCGUAAAGGGAGCGUAGGCGGACUGUUAAGUUAGAGGUGAAAGCCCAGGGCUCAACACUGGAAUUGCCUUUGAUACUGGCAGUCUUGAGUACGGAAGAGGUAUGUGGAACUCCGAGUGUAGAGGUGAAAUUCGUAGAUAUUCGGAAGAACACCAGUGGCGAAGGCGACAUACUGGUCCGUUACUGACGCUGAGGCUCGAAAGCGUGGGGAGCAAACAGGAUUAGAUACCCUGGUAGUC